ensembl:lncRNA
GAAAAAAUUCCAUCCAGCCCCGGGGAGGAGGGAGCGGGGCGGGGAGGCCGGGCCGGGGAGCGUGACGCAGGGAGGAGGGAAGGGACAAAAGGGGCCGGGAGGCGGUAGGGUGAGCCGGCAGCGCUCCCGCUCCUCCCUCCCUCCUCCCUCGGCCGGGGCCAGUUCUCUACUCUCCGCUUUCUUUCGUACCCUCCACCUCUCCUCCCUUUCCUUCACUCUGCCGGCCUCCUCCUGGCCCUGUGCUCCCCCCACCCCACCCCCCGCCCCCGUGUCUCCGUCUCCGCGUCUCUCUUUCUCCUUACAUCACGCCCACCCCCUCCACCCCAAUCAGGGUCUUCUCCUCUCCUCGCUCUGUCUCCCCCUUUCUGCUCUCCCAGCCUCCUUCCCCUCCCUCCGCUUCGGUCCCUCCACCCGCCCACCCACUGGGGGACAGAAAGGUGAAUCAGACCCAGAUCUGCCCUUGCAGACCGAGCUCACAGUCUGAUGGAGGAGACAGACCCAGACGCAGACAGUUCCAAUCCUGGGCGAUCGGGAUGCCCUGCGUUCAUAUCGGGACAAAAACUACACCACCCUGCCGUCUUCUUGCACUUGCCCUGAUUCCCUUGUUUGGUGAUUCUCGCUGUCUGGGUCUGUCUCUGAGAGUUCACUGAAGGCACUGUGGAGGUCUGAGUCAUCUCGAUGUCCUCAGUAUCACUCAGCAUAGGGUGUGGCUCAGAGGAAGGGCUCCGGAAAACGUAUGCCAAAUGAAUGAAUGGAGAGAUGGAUGAAUAACAAGUGGUUUAUGGGUUAGGCUGAGACUUGCCUAAAUUCUGGGAUAAAAGAACUUAAUUCCCGUUAGUUCCUGAAGCAUAAGGCCUCUGUCACCAUUUGUUAGUGACUCAUAGGAAGCACUGUUUCCAUCGUUCUUUGGUAUACAGAGUUCAUAACUCCCUUGACACCUAAUACUGAAAUAUUUCCAUUUCCACACAUCUCUAACACUCAAGAUCCACUGUUCAUUCCCAUCAGCCCCUGAGACUCGGGAUCCACCAUUCGUUCCCAUCAGCCCCUGAGACUCAGGGUCCACCACUCCCGUCUGCCAUUGACACACAGAACCACAGUUCUUGUCAGUCCCUGAUACCCAAUAUCCGUAAUUCCUAUCCCACUACAAUACAGGGCGACCACCAUUCCCAUCAACUCCGGAGACAGAAGUUCCACCUUUCCUAUUAUCCCUUUAGAACAGCAUGCCAAUGGAAAAUAAAAACUCCCCGCCCUUCACGAGGCCUUCCACAAUUCCCUGGAACAGAAACUUUGAGCCAGGAAGACACUUCAACCUGCUCUGAAGAAGACACAGUGAGAGACUGGCUGUCUGCAAGCCAGGAAACACCGCCUCACCAGGGAACUGAAUCAACCAGCCCCUUGCUCUUGG